CCUACGGGUGGCAGCAGUGGGGAAUAUUGCACAAUGGGGGAAACCCUGAUGCAGCGACGCCGCGUGAGUGAAGAAGUAUCUCGGUACGUAAAGCUCUAUCAGCAGGAAAGCAAAUGACGGUACCUGACUAAGAAGCCCCGGCUAAAUACGUGCCAGGAGCCGCGGUAAUACGUAGGGGGCACGCGUGAUCCGGAUUUCCUGGGGGUAAAGGGGUCGUAGACGGCGCGGCAAGUCCGGAGGUAAAGGCCAUGGCUUAACCAUGGUACUGCUCGGGAAACUGUAGAGCUUGAGUGCGGGAGGGGCAGGCGGAAUGCCUAGUGUAGCGGUGAAAUGCGUAGAUAUUAGGAGGAACACCGGCGGCGAAGGCGGCCUGCUGGACCGUAACUGACGUUGAGGCUCGAAAGCGUGGGGAGCAAACAGGAUUAGAUACCCUUGUAGUC
rnacentral:rRNA from 1 species